CCGGAGCUGACAUCAAAGUGCUCAUCAACUUCAAUGCACCCAAUCCUCAGGACCGCAAAAAAUUUACUGAUGACUUGCGAGAAUCAAUCGCCGAAGUCCAAGAGAUGGAGAAGUAUCGGAUAGAAUCUGAGCUAGAAAAACAGAAAGGGGUGGUGAGGCCCAGCAUGUCCCAGAGUUCUGGGUUAAAGAAGGAAACAGGAAACGGCAACCUGAGCCGAGCGAGCCUCGAUGACAGCUAUGCCAUUGGCGAAGGUUUGAAGAGGAGCGCCCUCAGCAGCUCCCUACGUGACCUCUCAGAUGCAGGCAAGCGUGGGAGACGCAGCAGC